rnacentral:lncRNA from 1 species
AGUGCAGAAUGUGAAGGCCGUCUUUGACGCGGCCAUAAGGGUUGUGCUUCAACCACCAAAACAGAAGAAAAAGAAGAGCAAAGCACAAAAAGCCUGCUCAAUAUUGUGAUUGAGACUAGGUGUAAAGAGAUGUAACAAGCUUUUCCAACCUGCCUGUAUCUCCUUUUGUCCUUUGUUAGUUCUACUGGUAAGCAGCUGCUUUUGUUGGAUCAAUCCUCAUCGCAACUAACGAGACCCGGUCCUCAGUGAGCAUCUGGCGCUAUGGGUACCCUUAUAUUGGUGUCAUGAUCUCUAAUUACAAUCAUCAUCAUUGUGUCAUCUUAACUCCAGUUCUGAUUUUGCUUUAUCUAUUGUGAGACUCCACUUAGGAAACAAAAACAGAAAACCUGUCUUAACGGGCAGUUAUAUUUCUCGCUUUGCAAUUCCUUGGCAAGGCUUGCAUAUGUCUGUGCUCCUCUCAUGUUCUUGUCUUUUGCUAGUCACUCCUGCAGAAUUGGAUGAGCUUUUCUGAUAGAUCCUCCUCCCUCUCUCUCUCUCUCUCUCUCUAACACAAGCACGCACAUAAUGGCGGCCCACUAAGGAAUAAAAGUCAACAUCAAAACAGAAAAAGAGACAGAAGUCAUAUGUGCUGCAAGAUGGGAAGGUUUUGGGAUGACCAUUUUUUCCUACGCUUGAAUUGAGUUUGUAAACGUGACUAGCACUUUGCUCCUGCUUAGUAGUAACCUUUUAUGGACACCAAGGUGAACUUUAUUUGGACUGGUUCGAUCAUCUUACUCACUUCUCCCUUCACUGAACAAUUUGAGUACGGCUCAUCACCGUCUCGUGAUUAAAAUUUUCUUUUUCCAGGGUAAGAUCUCUUGGCAUCUAAAUAAACCUGUGAUGUGGGCGCUUUCUAUGACAAAAAUAAAAGAUUCACCAUCACCUCCUCAACUUAUUUGAUUGAGUCUGUGUGAAGCGGGCACAAUGGCCAGUCUCUUAGGUGGGAACUUCAUAUCGGAGUUGUAAUUAGCGGUAACAACAUACGAUUUGGCAUGAUUUAUGUAAAAGUUCUCCAUUGACCAUUGAGUUCUACUUUUGUGAUCCAAUAGUGGCAAACGCCUCAAGGAACAGUUUCUCAAGAACCGUCGAUGCCCUCAUUUUCGGUCGGUACGCCUGCGAUUAACAUUGAGCAACUGUGUUUCCCGCCACCCCCGACGACGUUUCCCCCAAUAGUUCUCUUUGCUCGUUUCUUACAUGGCCCUUGGCGUUUCUCCUUUCGACUUCUCUCUUUCGAAGCGCUUCUUUCGUUGUUCCUUCUUGUUCCAUCGUUCCUGUGUAUUCUCGUUGUUACCCGGAUUCCGCCCCUUCUAUAUGCAGCUGCAAGUCGGCAUAGUACCCAAUGCCCAUGACAAAGGCUAUCUAGUUACAUGGACAUAGGCAGUUCAAAAGACUAAAAUUGCUUACUCCUUACUCAUAAAAAAGGAUAGAAAAAACCCUGUAUGGGAUGAUUAGUUAAGGAUUUAAAAAGAGGGGUUAAUACCCUAAAAAACUCUAAACGGGUACACAUGUGACAAAUUUAUCCCAAACUAUAUUUUUUUUACCAUAAAAAACCAAAAACUAGUACAUUUGUGAUAAAUUUACCCCGACUGACCAUAAAAAAAUCCUAAAGAGGUACAUUUAUGACAAAUUUACCCCAAACUAAUUUAUUCAACCACAAAAAACCCAAAACUAAUAAAUUUGUGACAAUUAUACCCUCCGGUAAAUUGGAUUAAUACCACAAAAAAAAUCACAAAAAUUAUAAACUAUGACAAACGGAGUGUAAAAUCCCAAAUCGAUAUACCAAUCAACCGUCAAGUGUCAUUUAACUUAAUUAAAAUUUAAUGAAAAUUAACAGAGGGUAAAUUUAUUACAAGUGUACCGGUUUGGGGUAAAUUUGUCAAAGAUGUACCAGUUUAGGGUUUUUUAUGAUCAAAAAAAUAGUUUUUGGUAAAUUUGUCACAAGUGUACCAGAUUUGAGUUUUUCAAGAUAUUAAUCUUAAAAAGAAUAUAAAAGAAUCCUAGGCGAAUUGAGCGUACUAUACGGUGAACGUGGAACAUAACCAAUCAUAUAUAUGUACAGAGCAUAUAUGCAAUCAAUGUGGUAUGUCUUUUUGUGAGCUCUUAAGAGAGUGAACUGCUUGAUUUGUUAAAUAUAUAUAUAUAUAUAUAUUUAUUUAUUUAUUUAUUUAAAAGAAUAAGAAGAAGAAGUUGAUAGAGGACAUGGAGCCGCAAAAAAGUUGAUAGAUACCCCCACAAUUAUAUACCAAAUUAGUCCGAUAGUGGCAUGUUCAAUUCUAGGUGAUUAAUUGACGGAAUGCCAAUGGGCCAACAAUACAUUAAGUAUCAUUUUUGGUUAGGCUUACUUUCUGUCCGAAUUACCACGGAAAGCGAUUCAAACAAGGACCAAACAUCUAACCAAAGAACAUUUCAGCACGCGGUGCCAUUCCAAGCGAAACAAUCUCAAGCGAUGUGCAUACUUCAACAUAUAUCUUGAGACACCACCGGCCGUGGUGGCUCCGCUGGGUAGGCUUCAGGGAGGGAGAGGUCAGGAGUUCGAAGCCCAUGCAACGCAAGUUGCAGGGAGGCUACUGGGCCAUUAGGUGAUUGACGUGUGGCGCCGGGGUGGUGGUCUCCCUGCUAGCGACACCUGGGGGUUUACGUAGCGGCUGUUAACCAAGGCGGUUCCUCCAGCAUCAAAAAAAAAAAAAAAAAAAACAUAUAUCUUGAGACAUGAACGAUGGCUAUCGGUCAUUGGUUAUCAUCAGUGUAAAUGGUUUUGUCCAAAUUCAAUUGUGAGAUACAAACAAAAAUUGUCAAUGAACUUUAGCUGAAUAUAUAAUGCAAUCUCUCAACUUUUAAUUUAUUCAAUAUAACCUCCAAACUUCACCCCAAUAAGCAAUGCAGUUCCUAAACUUUUAAUUUAUUCAGUGUGAUCUUUGAACUUUUUGUGCAUGUUCAAUUUAAUAUCUAGGAACUAUAUGAAAAUGUUUUCAUCAAUGUGGUUAGCAGAUAAAUGGUUUUGUUCAAAUUCAAUUGCAAGAUAAGGACAAAAAUUGUCUAUCAACUUUAGCUGAAUAUAUAACGCAGUCCCUCAACUUUUAAUUUAUUUAAUGUGAUUUCCAAACUUCACCCUAAUAGGUAAUAUAGUUUCGGAACUUUUAAUUUAUUCAAUAUGAUCUCUAGACUUUUUGUACAUAUUCAAUUUAGUUUUUAAACUAUAUAAAAAUGUUCAAUAAUAUCCUUCUAUUAAUUUAAAUUCAGGGACAAUUUAUAAAGUGUACCAAAUUAAAAAUCCGCAUUGGAGUGAAGUCCAAGUGCUUAUAUUGAAAAAAUUGAAAAUCGAGGGAUUUCAUUAUAAAUUGAGUUAAAAUUCAGAUAUCGUUCCGCCAUUAUCCCUUUUAUUAUUAAAGCUUGACAGUGGGCUUCUUUGGGUGGGAUCGUGUAUUGAGUAGCUCCAGCCCCCGCGGAGACUGAGGCAUUUCUUUCCUCCUUGUACCGCCGCAUUCAUUGCACGUCUAUCAUUACACGACCGUGUCGCACAAAUGCUUCCUCGUUUUGCCUUCUUGAAUGUAUUUGAUUUCACUGUUCGUAAACGUGACUACCACUUUGCUCAUGCUUAGUAGUAACCUUUUAUGGACACCAAGGUGAACUUUAUUUGGACUGGUUCGAUCAUCUUACUCACUUCUCCCUUCACUGAACAAUUUGAGUACGGCUCAUCACCGUCUCGAGAUUAAAAUAUUCUUUUUACAGGGUAAGAUCUCUUGGCAUCUAAAUAAACCUGUAAUGUGGGCGCUUCCUAUGACAAAAAUAAAAGAUUCACCAUCACCUCCUGAACUUAUUUGAUCGAGUCUGUGUGAAGCGGGGACAAUGGCCGGUCUCUUCGGUGGGAACUUCAUAUCAGAGUCGUGAUUAGCGGUAAUAACAUACGACUUGUUAUGAUUUAUGCAAAAGUUCUCGAUUCACCAUUGAGUUCUACUUCCGUGAUCCAAUAGUUGCAAACGCCUCAAGGAACGGUUUCUCAAGAACCGUCGAUACCCUCCUUUUCGGUCGGUAUGCCUGCGAUUAAUGUUGAGCAACCUAUGUCUAUUGGUACGCUUGCGAUUAAUGUUGAGCAACCUAUGUUGCACGGACACAUUAACAUGCUUCAUCCAACACGUGUCGGAGCGACGUUGACACGCUCGGAUACGCAUUGACCGCGUGUCAGAUUUAUUGACUAGCCAUGCCCGAAGUCGUUACCUUAACCGCAAGGAGGGGGAUACCGAAGGCAGGGCUAGGGCUAGUGACUAGAGUGAAGUCGUAACAAGGUAGCUAGAUCAAGUUAUCGCUACCAUGGCCAAUAAUGUCCAAUAAUGUCCAAUAAUGUCUGGUUCUUCUGGCUGAUGCCUCGUCCCCACCGUAAUUAAAAGAGGGUACGAAUUGUUUUGGUCUAUGUAGCUGGGAAGACGAAUUAAAUAAGCGGUCGCGUUGCUUUUAUUUUCUGUUUUUACUUCUUUUGGUAAUUUGAUUGGCUUGUUAAUCAUAUGUUAUCCCACAUGAAGACUAGGAGGAGGGCCAAAAAAUCCAUCGAUGAUGAAAACGACGGGCGGUUAUAGAAUGGUGUCAAAAACCCCGUCCAUCGCAUUCGCUAACAUCUCAAUGGGUAUCGGCUUAUUGAUUGAUUUGUCAUUCUAAACUCUCAUAUAAUAUUAAAUUUGACUGUGGUCAAGAUUUUUCCUGUGUUCAUAAAUGACUCCUUUCGGGAUGGAUCAAUUAUCCAUUCCAAGAUAUUCAUUUUUGCCAUUUGUUUGCUUCUCUUUUGGAAAUCUAAGAUUGAUGUAUGUGUAAUUACAUCCGAAAAAUAUAAAUGGUUCAAUAAGAAAUAAGUGCAUUGGAAAUUUUAAAACUUAUUAGAAAAGUGCAAUCGAAUUAUAAAAUAUGUCAAAUGAAUCCAACUAAAGUCUUUCCAUUGAUUGCACUUUUGAGACUUUUAAAACUCGAUUAUACUCUCAUGAUAAAUUUUAAAACUUUUACUAUACUUAUCCCGUUAAUCUAUUGUGUUUUCCCUGAUAGAAUCGAAGGAGCUUGUUUCGUUCUUUGCCUCCCACCCACCCUCCCCGGCAAAGAAAAAGGUUCUCUGUCUCCAUCUGUUUUUCUUCUUGGGAAGGGAGAGGUAGGGACAAGUUUAGCAGGCAUUAAUGAAAUCGAAAUCGAAGUGACGAGAGUAUUUCCUUCUCCUCUCUUUCCCUAGCUCGCAGGGACUGUUAUGUGCAUGCAUGCCCGGACUAAGCAACGAGGGACGAUGAUUAACAUCGUUUCAAAGCCUCAAAUUCUUGCUCAGAUCUGAUAUUAAAACCUAAUACCAAUUACCGCUGUCGCCUAGCUACUCUGAAAGCUCUGGACAGUCGAUAAAUAGCUUCGUCUUCUCCAUGCUUACCUGAGGAAAAACCAAAGCAAGCUCUCUCUCUCUCUCUCUCACUCUCUCUCUCGUUGUUGUGCUCUUCUUCCUCUCCUUCUCCUUCUCCUUUAUAUUCUUGUUGAGUUAGAGAGGUUGUGCUAGCGAGAACGUGCCCGUCGAGAAGAUGUCAAGCUUUAGGAAACCCUUUGGCUUAUCUUCUCCUUUAUAUGCGGUUAUCUUGGUCUCCCUUGCCCUCGUCGCUCGCGGGAGGCUCGCCUCCUCGGCACGGCCCAGGCCCCGGCCGCCCCUGCUGGCGUACAUCGCGUUCGGUGACUCCAUCAUCGACCCCGGGAACAACAACAACAUACAGACGAUAGUCAAGUGCAACUUCCCACCGUACGGGCGGGAUUUCAUGGGGGGGAAACCGUCCGGGAGGUUCUCCAACGGGAAGAUCCCGCCGGACCUGUUUGGUAAUAUGCAUAAAAAUCCAUCUGCUUUGAACUAGUUUCAAAAGCGGGAAAAAUCGAUCACUUGAGUUCAUGUUAUUAUCAUCUUGAGGUGACCAGUGUGUUUUCACCUGUAGUGAAUAGGGAUACUGAUAGAUGCAUGACUUGUGCCAUUUCCCCCACCUUUGAACUCUUUUGCGUUGAUCUUUCAAGUGUAACCAUAGAUUAGUCAGGGCGAGGUAAGCUUGAGCCUCCAACAUGCGCUAUUUUAUUUCAUAAAAACAUGUAAUUCUAUGAAUGAACCUAAUAACUUUUUAAAGAGUGCGUUUGUUUCAUAAAAAACUCCAUGAUAAAAAAGAAAAAAAAAUGUACUUUUUAGUUUUCCUUUAUUUGGUGAUUUUCCGACACAUUUCGGGAAUAUGAUUAGUUUUCCUUUAUUUGGUCAUGUAUAAUCGAAAAUAUUUUAUGAUGUUUGGAUCUCAUUGGAUAAAGAUUUCAAUCUCAUGACUUUAUUUUAGGCAAAAAAAUCGAAAUUUUUUAUUAAUGUUUUUAUUUGUAUAUAAAAAUCGAACUUUUAAUUACUUUUACUUUAUUUUCUUUAAAAGUUUGAAUUUUUAAUUUCUCUUCUUUUCUCUUUACUUUUUCUUUUUUCUUUUUUUCUUUUUCCGACUUUCUCCGCUACAACCGACCAACGAAGGCCAUGGGCAAGCUUUAAGCUUACUUGGAUCCGGCGAGCCUUAACUUGUCGACUCGACUAGCUCGAGCUCACCUAGAUCAACCAAGCCUUGAGCUUGUCAAUCGCGUCAUGGUCGGCUAGUGGAGGAAGAAGGAAAAUAAUAAUAAUAAUAAUAAUAAUAAUAAUAAUAAAUUCAAAAAAAAUUAUAAAAUAAAAAUAAAUCAAUUUAUUUUACCCAACAAAUUUAUUUUAAGAAGAAUAAUUUUUAUAAUUAAAUUUUCAUAAACCAAGGAUCCUAAAACUAGGAAAAAAUUUAGGAAAACAUUUUUUUGGUUCUUUUAGAGGGGAAACCAUUUUCUUAAAUUUAAGUUUUGAUAGAAAAACAUUUUUCAUUGAUUAAAAAAUUAUUUUUCAUUAACUCAUUUUCCUAACAAACCAAACACUAAAAAUUGAGGAAAAUGUUUUCCAUGAAUUGCUUUUUGCAAAACAACUAGACCCUAGUGAAAAACAAUGUGUUAUAAUAGACAUCAAAUUAUAAAUCUAUUGUAUUUGUGCCAAUUUAACAUAAACUUUUCAAUUAGAUCAAUUUAGACCUAAAUCUUUUCCGUUUGUGCCAAUUAAGUCUAUCUAGUCAAUUUCGACUGGAAAUUGCUAACAUAGAUGCCAGUCAUACCAUGUAACACGACCAACAUAAACAUGGAUAAUUUUUUUUUAUUUUUUAGAGUUCUUUUUUACUUUUCUUUUUCCUUUUUUUUUCUUUUCUUUUCUUCUUUUCUUUCCUUCUUUAUUUUUCCCAACUAUGGGCUGGCAAGUUUGCCGACCGACCAUUGCCGAUCACAUAAGAGAACCGGCGACCCUCACCUGGUCUAGGCAAGGCAAGGAUCGUGAUGCCUUCUUUUGGUAUGAGAUUUCUCUAAGGUUGACAAAAAAUGAAAAGAAGAAGAAAAGAAAAGAAGAUGUUUUUUUUUUUAGCGGUACUAGUCCCUCUCCUUUCCAUCAAGAUGAUGUUUCUAAUUCCUAUGCCGAUUGAUGUUUGUGCAAAUUUGUUGCCGGUCUCUUUGGAGGAUUGUCUAUGGUACAAGUACGAUGCCAAUGCAAGUUUACGAGGUUUCGUCGUGUGAUUUUUCUUUGUUAAUUUAUCCAAAUUCAAAAGAACGCCUUUCAAAAUAAAUUGCGAGGUACCAACACUUUUUUAACAUUUUACCAUAGCAAACGUUAUUAACCCGAUUUUACGAAUCUUGGGACAAAAUUUUCUCCAGUCGAAGCAUUUGGAGUUAAACAGUACUUGCCUGCUUAUUUGGACCCGAGUCUCAAAUUAGAAGACCUCCUCACCGGCGUCAGCUUCGCUUCCGGCGCCACCGGUUACGAUCCUCUCACUCCACAAAUCGCCGUAAGCUCUCUCUCCUCCCGAUCUGCUCUUAGAAUUCGACCCUCCUUUCUUUGUUUUCUUGGUAAUUAGGAAUUUAGGGAUUGUCUUAGGCUUGUGCGUCGGUAGGCGUCAAUACAUGUGAAAGAAUAAUCGUUAUGACACCGAGGAGCGUCGGUGUGUGCUAGUGUGCGCGCUGUAUAAACACCAGGCCUCCUCACGAGUUGCUCGAGCUUUGUUUAGUCCAGCUCGAUCUUUUUGCAAUCAAAUGGAAUCACCUGAAAUUUCUUCCAUCAUAUAAUUAUUCUGGCAGUCGGCCUUGUCGCUAUCGGAUCAACUAAACUUGUUCAAGGAGUACGUGAACAAGAUAAAAUCGGGUGCCGGAGAAGAGAAGGCGGCGGACAUCGUCAAGAAUAGCGUCUACAUGGUGGUGUGCGGGAGCGACGACAUCGCAAACACUUACUACUCGACUCCAUUCAGGCGAGGGGAAUACGACAUACCGGCCUACACCGAUCUCAUGCUCAACUCGGCUUCAAGUUUCAUUCAGGUAAAGUCUUGAAAGAGAAACAUUCUUUACGAACAAUGAUGACGACGAGGACGAAGAAAGACCAAAAGACAUGAUAAUAUAGGGAUUAAAUUGCAAGACAGAACUGAUUCUGAAGUACUGGUGUACGAUUUAGCAGGAGCUCUAUGGAUUAGGAGCAAGAAAGAUUGGCAUCCUGAGCCUACCACCGAUCGGAUGUGUGCCUGCACAGAGAACGCUUGAUGGAGGAUUAGAAAGAGCCUGUAAUGCGCCCGCCAAUCAAGCAGCAACCCUCUUCAACUCCAAGCUCUCCUCAGAACUCGAAUCCCUCAAACAGAAGCUCCCUGGCUCUAAACUAGUCUAUAUGGACAUCUACCAUAAAUUGCUUUCCGUCAUCCAAAACCCUUCGCACUACGGUAACUCGCUGCGUUAUAUACUCUCUCUACACAAGAUUUUGGCUUUUGCAUUCGAAUCUCUAUCGUCAUGCCGUCGGUCAGCCUCAUGUUUUGGUCAUGUCGAUGCAUGUGUGCAGGAUUCGAAGUGGCAGAUAGAGGGUGCUGCGGCACGGGGAACAUAGAAGUGAGCAUACUGUGCAACCGUCUAGACGAUCUCGAGACAUGCCAAGAUGACUCGAAGUACGUCUUCUGGGACGGUUACCAUCCGACGGAAAAUGCCUAUAAGAUCCUAUCGGAUCAUGUGAUCGACAAUUAUGCCGACCAGCUUUUAUGAGACCGCUCGGAUUUAUUAGUUGUUUACAGGUGAAGUGGAUUAGAUAGUACACCUCGAUCGACAAUUAUGCCGACCAGCUUUUAUGAGACCGCUCGGAUUUAUUAGUUGUUUACAGGUGAAGUGGAUUAGAUAGUACACCUCGAAGCUUCCAUAAGGCCCCCCUGCUUCUUGUUGCAGAUUGAAGUUUCCAUAAGGUUCCCAGCUUCUUGUUGCAGAUUGAAGUUUCCAUAAGGUCCCCAGCUUCUUGUUAUAGAUUGUAACAGAGGCAGUAGAAUAUCGCACCUAUCUUCCAGCCAUCUUAUUUAUUUUGUUCGGCUCAACAAAAGUGUGAAACAUUGAACUCUUCAUUCAAAAUACUUUCAUUAUCGGAAAUAUGAUGGUACUUAAGCGAAUGUCUCCUUACCUUCAUGCUGCGGGUAAGUUGGGUACCUUGAAACUUUAGAGAAUGUCUGAGAUACUAUCUUAAGGUAUUCCAUCAAUUACUCCUCACAUGGUGGUCCUGCAGCUAAAAUAACAAUAAUUCAUUGUCCAAAACAGAAGAAAAAGAAGAGCAAAGCACAAAAAGCCUGCUCAAUAUUGUGAUUGAGACUAGGUGUAAAGAGAUGUAACAAGCUUUUCCAACCUGCCUGUAUCUCCCUUUGUCCUUUGGUAGUUCUACCGGUAAGCAGCUGCUUUUGUUGGAUCCUUCC